GACGAACGCUGGCGGCGUGCUUAACACAUGCAAGUCGAACGGUAAGGCCCUGCUUUUGUGGGGUGCUCGAGUGGCGAACGGGAGGGUAACAUGAGAGUAACCUGCCCUUGCCUUUGGGAUAGCUUCAGGAAACUGGGGCUAAUACCAGACAGGAUCUCCUGCUGCAGGGUGGGGGUUGGACUGUUUCGGCGGUUGUUGAUGGAGUCGCGGCGUGUCAGCCCGUUGGUGGGGUAGUGGCUUACAAAGGCUUUGACGGGUGGCCGGCCUGAGAGGGUGACCGGCCACGUUGGGACUGAGACGCGGGCCAGCCGUCUACGGGAGUCAGCAGUGGGGAAAAGUGUGCUGUGGGCGGAAGCCUGAUGCGGCGGCGCCGCGUGCGGUAUGAAGGCCUUCGGGUUGUGAACCGCUUUCGCCUGUGACGAAGCGUGAGUGACGGUAGUGGGUAAAGAAGCGCCGGCUAACUACGUG
rnacentral:rRNA from 1 species